GUGAUUUUGGAGAGUGGUAAAUAUAAUCUGUGGAAACCAUAUAAAAUGUACAUGAUUAUUGCAGCCAGCCAACGAAUUCUAAAGUAAUGGGUAAAUUGUACAUAUGCUACCCAUUCGUCAACAGUAAGAACCAUCACAUAGAAAAAUGCAGUAAAAUAUACCCCCAAACCGUGAGUUUUUUUGCUUUUAAAUUGCGCAUGCGUGAGCCCGCGUUUUGAGUGAGUGUGGUCGACGCUGGAUCCUCUCUCUGGCUGCCAUCGAACAGCAGAAGUGAAGGCAGAGUCUGUGUAUGUGGACACUCACUAUUUGCCCUCUCUUCAGUUCCUCUUGUCUGUCCUCCACAAGCAGAGACUCACUGAUAGACCACUGUUACCAGUUCUAGUGUUGACACAUCCACCCACGUCCCCACCACAAGUGUAUCCUGUACAGCUGAGGAAACACACACCAAACAACAAUGGCGGUCCAUUUAAGAGUCGUUUUAGAAGAACACAACAUUCAAAAGCUGAAACUUCCAACAGGAAUUCCAAAUACAGUGGAAGAUCUUGUUUCCAUAGUUACUGAAACUUUUCAAUUGCAUGGGGAAAUUGGACUACUAUAC